UACAGAGGUCCCAAGCGUUGUUCGGAUUCACUGGGCGUAAAGGGUGCGUAGGCGGUCGGGUAAGUUUGAUGUGAAAUCUCCGAGCUUAACUCGGAAAUGGCAUUGAAUACUAUUCGGCUAGAGAGUCAGAGGGGGGACUGGAAUACUUGGUGUAGCAGUGAAAUGCGUAGAUAUCAAGUGGAACACCAGUGGCGAAGGCGAGUCCCUGGACGAUUUCUGACGCUGAGGCACGAAAGCUAGGGGAGCAAACAGG
rnacentral:rRNA from 1 species